UUAUAAUUACUAUUAUUUCCUUAUGAUAAAUAAAUCAAUAUAUUAACUGGACAUAUUUGAUUAAAUUCAAUAACCAAUUGAGCAACCUAGACCUCAGCGGCAUGCGCUUCAACAAGAAGAUUAGAGCUGAACACACAAAGCAAACAAUGACAGCCGCCAUUCUAGAGGCUAUUCCUACAAAACAUCGAAGUCGAUCGCAAAACUGUCCCCAUGUUGCCUUAUUCAUCGAUGAAUGAAGCCCGAGGAAAUUGGUUUCACAUCCAAGAAUGGAGUUUAUUUUGGUGACAAUUUCAUUUAGGGUAAAUUCCAUUGUGCCCCCUACUAGAUGACUAUCUUCAAAAUACCCCCAAGGAUACGAGAACAUCACUCUAACCCCCCCCCCCUCCCCAAAUUAUCGUGAUCUCCCUAUUGAAGUUAUGAGCUUAAAGGGUAAAGUCGUGUUUGAACAAAUACCAUAACGAGCAUUAUCCUAGAGGAAUGUGAGAUGUCAAAUCAAGAUAGUCUUUCAACUACUUCCUAGAAUUUUAUAAUUUUAUAUA
rnacentral:lncRNA from 1 species